rnacentral:rRNA from 1 species
CCUACGGGUGGCAGCAGUGAGGAAUAUUGGUCAAUGGGCGCGAGCCUGAACCAGCCAAGUAGCGUGAAGGAUGACUGCCCUACGGGUUGUAAACUUCUUUUAUAAAGGAAUAAAGUGCGGCACGUGUGCCUUUUUGUAUGUACUUUAUGAAUAAGGAUCGGCUAAAUCCGUGCCAGCAGCCGCGGUAAUACGGAGGAUCCGAGCGUUAUCCGGAUUUAUUGGGUUUAAAGGGAGCGUAGAUGGGUUGUUAAGUCAGUUGUGAAAGUUUGCGGCUCAACCGUAAAAUUGCAAUUGAUACUGGCAGGCUGGAGUACAGGUGAGGUAGGCGGAAUUCGUGGUGUAGCGGUGAAAUGCUUAGAUAUCACGAGGAACUCCGAUUGCGAAGGCAGCUUGCUAAACUGCAACUGACAUUGAUGCUCGAAAGUGUGGGGAUCAAACAGGAUUAGAUACCCUUGUAGUC